rnacentral:rRNA from 1 species
AGAUUGAACGCUGGCGGAAUGCUUUACACAUGCAAGUCGAGCGGCAGCGCGGGGCAACCUGGCGGCGAGCGGCGAACGGGUGAGUAAUGCAUCGGAACGUGUCCAUGUCGUGGGGGGAUAGCCCGGCGAAAGCCGGAUUAAUACCGCAUACGCCCGAGAGGGGAAAGUGGGGGACCGCAAGGCCUCACGCGAUUGGAUCGGCCGAUGUCCGAUUAGCUAGUUGGCGGGGUAAAGGCCACCAAGGCGAUGAUCGGUAGCUGGUCUGAGAGGAUGAUCAGCCACACUGGGACUGAGACACGGCCAGACUCCUACGGAGGCAGCAGUGGGAAUUUUGGACAAUGGGGGCAACCCGUGAUCCAGCCAUUCCGCGUGAGUGAAGAAGGCCUUCGGGUUGUAAAGCUCUUUUGUCCGGAACGAAACGGGUAGACGGUGAAUAUCGCUGCCUACUGACGGUACCGGAAGAAUAAGCACCGACUAACUACGUGCCAGCACGCCG